AAUAUGGCUGCCAACAGAGCUACUUUAGUCUGGCCAAACGAAUUUGGUCUAGAAUCCGAUGCUGAAGGAAAGGCGCCUGAAGAAGCUCAAAAUGUACGACUGCAGCAACACGUUUUCUGAAUGUAGGUGCUCCUGUGGAAACUGUGCAGCCAUGCCCACAGAACCUGAAAAUAGAUGCUGCUUGGAGACACCAAAGGUUAUUAAACAUGUACGGGAGGUUGAGAAACCGAUAUCAUGCAUGAUACAGCAUCCUGGGUUGGAGCCUGUCUGCCUCAACCUUUACUCUCUGCAGAAUGCCUGCAACAUAUACAAAGAUGACUAUGGUGCUAUGCGGCUUAGAGGAAUAAACCAAUAAGUUUUGCGUCUUUGUAAAUUCUCAUUAUUUCCUCUUAAAGAUGUUUUGAAGUCUUUCUAUACUUGAGUUUAGAAACUUGUACAAUGGAA